UACGUAGGGGGCGAGCGUUGUCCGGAGUUACUGGGCGUAAAGCGCUUGUAGGCGGUCCACCAAGUUUGGGGUGACAGUUGCCGACUUAAUCGGCAGAGUGCCUCAAAGACUGGCGGACUUGAGGGCCACAGAGGGACAUGGAACUCCAGGUGUAGUGGUGAAAUGCGUAGAUAUCUGGAAGAACACCAAAGGCGAAGGCAGUGUCCUGGGUGGUCGCUGACGCUGAGAGGCGAAAGCCAGGGGAGCGAACGGG
rnacentral:rRNA from 1 species